UUAUAUCGUACACAACUUGGCAUCAAAUCAUAUUUUAUUUAAUAGUUAUGUACUAGAACCUCUACAGCCAACGGCCGCAGGGUGUGGCUGUGCUCCAAAUGUUUGAUAAAAUGACCCGGAACGCGUGAGCACGACAUUCUCCCCCACCCAAUUCUGCAACGCCCUCAUAGCGAUUUGUGCUUCAACUGUUGCGCCACCAAAUGGGCACCAUCCUAUGAGCAUAUAGCCCGUGUAAUGGCGGGCAACGAUGAGGUCUGUAAUAUCUUUCUAAUGGACAAUCUGCAACUGCAUACAAUUAAGUAUAUGAACUAUGCCAUCUGCCAUCAGUAAGCCCUCAACAUGACAAUGCUAUCUAGUGCCUGCUUGAUAAUACUACCCAAUAACUUGAGUAGUUUAAUACUUCAAGUAGUUGCUCGACAUUAUAUCAAUAGUUUUGUAGUUCAGUGAUAGUUUCUCUUUCUUUGUGUGUGUGUGCAUAGAAAUUUCAAUAAGGGA
rnacentral:lncRNA from 1 species